rnacentral:rRNA from 1 species
UUAUGAGAGUUUGAUCCUGGCUCAGGACGAACGCUGGCGGCGUGCCUAAUACAUGCAAGUCGAACGCUUUUUCUUUCACCGGAGCUUGCUCCACCGAAAGAAAAAGAGUGGCGAACGGGUGAGUAACACGUGGGUAACCUGCCCAUCAGAAGGGGAUAACACUUGGAAACAGGUGCUAAUACCGUAUAACACUAUUUUCCGCAUGGAAGAAAGUUGAAAGGCGCUUUUGCGUCACUGAUGGAUGGACCCGCGGUGCAUUAGCUAGUUGGUGAGGUAACGGCUCACCAAGGCAACGAUGCAUAGCCGACCUGAGAGGGUGAUCGGCCACACUGGGACUGAGACACGGCCCAGACUCCUACGGGAGGCAGCAGUAG